rnacentral:lncRNA from 1 species
CUGUCCUUAAGCUCUUCCUACAUAGAAGUGCCCAGCUGGUGAUUAGGGACAUGCCAUGGAGAUAAGUGUCUGCCAGCACCUUGCUUGAGUGCUAAUAGGUGCACAGUUUUCUUCUUCACCAUGCAUGGAGGCAGCACCAAGAAGCUCUGACUCCUGUGUUCAGCUCAGCAGUAGCCAGACAGGAGUAACCCUGCCUGAGCCCCAGAGAGCAUCAGAAGUGGCAGAGGAGCCCGCGCAUCGAGGUUUCCCAAGGAGCAGAAACAAGAACUGAAUGAUGAGCAAUCACUCAAGUGCCACUGAACUGAAUUCUGCCUUUUAGGGUUCCCUGGGUCCCAAGAACUACAUCAAAUUCUUUUUGCUGUAUUCUUUCUCUUCUACUCAGUGACAGUAAUGGGGAACAUGGUCAUUGUUUGCAUUGAUAAACGUCUUCAGUCCCCCAUGUAUUUUUCCCUUGGUCAUCUUUCUGCCAUCAUCACCUACAUUAUUGCCCCUUUGAUGCGCUAGGGAUUGCUGCUCCCUGGGAUGCAGACAGUAUCUCUGACUGCAUGUGUC